GGGCACGCACAACUUCUUCCCCCAACAACCCUCAGUCAUCCGUGCUUCGUGGGCAGCUCAACAAAUCCGGCCGAAGACCCCGGCGGGGCGCGCGCGCCGCUCCCCUGGCCAUAUGAACUUCGUCCCUCGCGCCACAGAAGAGAUGAGCGGGUUGGAGUCUUCGUCGCCGAGUUCUCUUAUCUCUCCUCCCUCUCCUCUCCAUUUCUCUCCCCUCGACCGAGCUCCUCUCCUGCCCAUCCAUGGUGCUCGGCACCCGGUAUCCCUGCUCCUCUUCCUUGGCGGCCGAGCGGGGCUCCCUCUGACGACUCCGCGCUUCCUCUGGUGCACGGCCGCCUCUAUUGCCGUCGCCUGGGGCUUCUGCUGCGUUACCAUGGGCCAAACAGCGAGGAAAAUGCCGAGAGAGAGGUAGAGACAGUUUGGUCGUCGAGUCACAUGGAGGGUGCCCUGGUGGCCGGGGAAUCCUUCACCUGCGGGGUGCUACAUCGCCGGGCUGCUGCAUCGUGGUCUGCCUCUACUACCAGGGCUGACUCCAUUGCCGGACAGCCAAAACUCUCGGUCGAGUCUCUGAAGGCCGUCUGUCCCUGUUCCUUCCGGUCAAGAACAGGUACCACAGGAUGAGGCGCAUGGAGGAUGCUGUGAUGAGUUCGUGAGUGGUCUAGGCCGUC
rnacentral:misc_RNA from 1 species